AGAGUUUGAUCCUGGCUCAGGAUGAACGCUGGCGGCGUGCCUAAUACAUGCAAGUCGAACGCGAGCACUUGUGCUCGAGUGGCGAACGGGUGAGUAAUACAUAAGUAACCUGCCCUAGACAGGGGGAUAACUAUUGGAAACGAUAGCUAAGACCGCAUAGGUACGGACACUGCAUGGUGACCGUAUUAAAAGUGCCUCAAAGCACUGGUAGAGGAUGGACUUAUGGCGCAUUAGCUGGUUGGCGGGGUAACGGCCCACCAAGGCGACGAUGCGUAGCCGACCUGAGAGGGUGACCGGCCACACUGGGACUGAGACACGGCCCAGACUCCUACGGGAGGCAGCAGUAGGGAAUUUUCGGCAAUGGGGGAAACCCUGACCGAGCAACGCCGCGUGAAGGAAGAAGGUUUUCGGAUUGUAAACUUCUGUUAUAAAGGAAGAACGGCGGCUACAGGAAAUGGUAGCCGAGUGACGGUACUUUAUUAGAAAGCCACGGCUAACUACGUGCCAGCAGCCGCGGUAAUACGUAGGUGGCAAGCGUUAUCCGGAAUUAUUGGGCGUAAAGAGGGAGCAGGCGGCAGCAAGGGUCUGUGGUGAAAGCCUGAAGCUUAACUUCAGUAAGCCAUAGAAACCAGGCAGCUAGAGUGCAGGAGAGGAUCGUGGAAUUCCAUGUGUAGCGGUGAAAUGCGUAGAUAUAUGGAGGAACACCAGUGGCGAAGGCGACGAUCUGGCCUGCAACUGACGCUCAGUCCCGAAAGCGUGGGGAGCAAAUAGGAUUAGAUACCCUAGUAGUCCACGCCGUAAACGAUGAGUACUAAGUGUUGGAUGUCAAAGUUCAGUGCUGCAGUUAACGCAAUAAGUACUCCGCCUGAGUAGUACGUUCGCAAGAAUGAAACUCAAAGGAAUUGACGGGGGCCCGCACAAGCGGUGGAGCAUGUGGUUUAA
rnacentral:rRNA from 1 species